CCUUAGGGGGCUAGCGUUGUUCGGAAUUACUGAGCGUAAAGCGCACGUAGGCGGCUUUGCAAGUCAGCUGUGAAAGCCCGGGGCUCAACCCCGGAGGGUCGGCUGAUACUGCUAGGCUAGAGUACAGAAGAGGUAACUGGAAUUCCCGGUGUAGCGGUGGAAUGCGUAGAUAUCGGGAGGAACACCUGAGGCGAAGGCGGGUUACUGGGCUGAUACUGACGCUGAUGCGCGAAAGCCAGGGGAGCAAACGGGA
rnacentral:rRNA from 1 species